rnacentral:rRNA from 1 species
AUUGAACGCUGGCGGCAGGCUUAACACAUGCAAGUCGAGCGGGGUGAUGGUGCUUGCACUAUCACUUAGCGGCGGACGGGUGAGUAAUGCUUAGGAAUCUGCCUAUUAGUGGGGGACAACAUCUCGAAAGGGAUGCUAAUACCGCAUACGUCCUACAGGAGAAAGCAGGGGAUCACUUGUGACCUUGCGCUAAUAGAUGAGCCUAAGUCGGAUUAGCUAGUUGGUGGGGUAAAGGCCUACCAAGGCGACGAUCUGUAGCGGGUCUGAGAGGAUGAGCCGCCACACUGGGACUGAGACACGGCCCAGACUCCUACGGGAGGCAGCAGUGGGGAAUAUUGGACAAUGGGGGGAACCCUGAUCCAGCCAUGCCGCGUGUGUGAAGAAGGCCUUAUGGUUGUAAAGCACUUUAAGCGAGGAGGAGGCUCUUUUGGUUAAUACCCAAGAUGAGUGGACGUUACUCGCAGAAUAAGCACCGGCUAACACUGUGCCAGCCGCCGCGGUAA